rnacentral:rRNA from 1 species
CAGUCGCCGCGGUAAUACAGAGGGUGCGAGCGUUAAUUGGAUUUACUGGGCGUAAAGCGUGCGUAGGCGGCUUCUUAAGUCGGAUGUGAAAUCCCUGAGCUUAACUUAGGAAUUGCAUUCGAUACUGGGAAGCUAGAGUAUGGGAGAGGAUGGUAGAAUUCCAGGUGUAGCGGUGAAAUGCGUAGAGAUCUGGAGGAAUACCGAUGGCGAAGGCAGCCAUCUGGCCUAAUACUGACGCUGAGGUACGAAAGCAUGGGGAGCAAACAGGAUUAGAUACCCCGGUAGUCCCUGUCUCUUAUAC